ACGCACGCUGGCGGCAUGCCUAACACAUGCCAGUCGAACGAGACCUUCGGGUCUAGUGGCGCACGGGUGCGUAACGCGUGGGAACCUGCCCUUAGGUUCGGAAUAACUCCCCGAAAGGGGUGCUAAUACCGGAUAAUGUCUUCGGACCAAAGAUUUAUCGCCUUUGGAUGGGCCCGCGUUGGAUUAGCUAGUUGGUAGGGUAAAAGCCUACCAAGGCGACGAUCCAUAGCUGGUCUGAGAGGAUGAUCAGCCACACUGGGACUGAGACACGGCCCAGACUCCUACGGGAAGCAGCAGUGGGGAAUAUUGGACAAUGGGCGAAAGCCUGAUCCAGCAAUGCCGCGUGAGUGAUGAAGGCCUUAGGGUUGUAAAGCUCUUUUACCCGGGAUGAUAAUGACAGUACCGGGAGAAUAAGCUCCGGCUAACUCCGUG
rnacentral:rRNA from 1 species